rnacentral:rRNA from 1 species
GAUGAACGCUGGCGGCGUGCCUAAUACAUGCAAGUCGAGCGAACGGACGAGAAGCUUGCUUCUCUGAUGUUAGCGGCGGACGGGUGAGUAACACGUGGAUAACCUACCUAUAAGACUGGGAUAACUUCGGGAAACCGGAGCUAAUACCGGAUAAUAUUUUGAACCGCAUGGUUCAAAAGUGAAAGACGGUCUUGCUGUCACUUAUAGAUGGAUCCGCGCUGCAUUAGAUAGUUGGUAAGGUAACGGCUUACCAAGGCAACGAUGCAUAGCCGACCUGAGAGGGUGAUCGGCCACACUGGAACUGAGACACGGUCCAGACUCCUACGGGAGGCAGCAGUAGGGAAUCUUCCGCAAUGGGCGAAAGCCUGACGGAGCAACGCCGCGUGAGUGAUGAAGGUCUUCGGAUCGUAAAACUCUGUUAUUAGGGAAGAACAUAUGUGUAAGUAACUGUGCACAUCUUGACGGUACCUAAUCAGAAAGCCACGGCUAACUACGUG